rnacentral:rRNA from 1 species
GGGCCCGCACAAGCGGUGGAGCAUGUGGUUUAAUUCGACGCAACGCGAAGAACCUUACCAGGGCUUGACAUCGAGUGAAAGAUCUAGAGAUAGAUCCCUCUCUUCGGAGACACGAAGACAGGUGGUGCAUGGUUGUCGUCAGCUCGUGUCGUGAGAUGUUGGGUUAAGUCCCGCAACGAGCGCAACCCCUAUUGUUAGUUGCCAGCAGGUAAAGCUGGGCACUCUAGCGAGACUGCCGUGGACAACACGGAGGAAGGCGGGGAUGACGUCAAAUCAUCAUGCCCCUUAUGUCCUGGGCUACACACGUGCUACAAUGGACGGUACAAAGGGCAGCGAAGCCGCGAGGUGGAGCAAAUCCCAUAAAGCCGUUCUCAGUUCGGAUUGUAGUCUGCAACUCGACUACAUGAAGUCGGAAUCGCUAGUAAUCGCAGGUCAGCACACUGCGGUGAAUACGUUCCCGGGCCUU